ensembl:lncRNA
GCCUGAAGGUCUAUGCCCCAGGAGCUGGCAGGCAGGAGGUACUCAAGUACUCAAGGGGGUCUAAAGAGAAAGAGCCAGUCUCAGCCCAGGAACACACAGCUGAGUCAGGGAAGGGACCACGUGCAUACUGGCUUUCCUCCACACUGACAGUUCGGCUGGGGCGGGACAACCAUGACAUGGAUUGCUGAGAGGGGCUUCGUGAGUGUGGGGAGAGGGCCUUAGAAUUGUUUAGUUGGGCUCUUAAGAUUGCAAGAACAGAAAUCCAGGGAGAGAGAUGAGACAUUCACUGUGGAGAUAAGUGAAUGGAAACCAAGCCUUGAGAAAAACGGAGCAGCUGUAAGAAGGCUGGGCUAGGAGAUGUCACACUGGCAACUUCCAUCUCCUACAUCCAGUUGUAGGUCACCUGAACACCCUUGGAUCAACUGGGCAUAAGAGGAAGCCUGUGGUAUAAAAUACCAUGGCCUACAUCUUUCACUGAGCCAACUGCUGGGACAAGCCAGUCCACAGGAAGGAGAGUCUAGAUCCAUCCCUGUCACUACAAAUGACCUCUUUUGCACUCUUCAGCCAUUGGACAGCCUUUUGAACAAAGAGGAUGGUCUGGGCCCACCGAGGAGGAGCUAGCUGGCUCCCUGAGGAAUAGGCAUCUGGUUGGGAAAAAGAGACAUGCUGAGCCAGAUCCAACCUGGGCAAUUCCACAAAUGGAGGCACUUGAAAAG